rnacentral:rRNA from 1 species
CGGAGGGUGCAAGCGUUAUCCGGAUUCACUGGGUUUAAAGGGUGCGUAGGUGGGUUGGUAAGUCAGUGGUGAAAUCUCCGAGCUUAACUUGGAAACUGCCGUUGAUACUAUCGAUCUUGAAUAUCGCGUAGGUAAGCGGAAUAUGUCAUGUAGCGGUGAAAUGCUUAGAUAUGACAUAGAACACCAAUUGCGAAGGCAGCUUACUUCACGAUCAUUGACACUGAGGCACGAAAGCGUGGGGAGCAAACAGGAUUAGAUACCCUGGUAGUCCACGCCCUAAACGAUGGAUACUCGACAUUAGCGAUACACUGUUAGUGUCUGAGCGAAAGCAUUAAGUAUCCCACCUGGGAAGUACGACCGCAAGGUUG